CCGAAACGAAGGAAACAAGAAAAGAGAGUAAGAGAGAGGAGAGACAUGGUUCGUGUGCAUUCCAAUCCUUCUUGAGUCUUGACCUUGUUCUUAGUCCUACUCUUCCAAACCCUAAAUUUCUUGCAUGCAUUAUAUCUCUCUUCCAUUCCCAAUUUCAGAACUCUUGAGUGUGAGUGCCAGAAAACAUGUCUUGGCUGAGAUCUGCGGUCAUCAAAGCCGUCGAGGUCGGCAACAAGAACAACCUCACUCGCACCGUCAAGAACUACGCAGAUUCCGUCGUUCAACACGCCGGCCAAGCCGUUGCUGAGGGCGCCAAAAUCCUUCAAGAUCGCAUUUCUGCUCGGAAUUAUAGAAGUAUUGCGCAGACAGUUAAAAGAUUGGAAGAGGCUGCUAUCACCUAUAGGGGACCUGAGAGGGUGCAGUUGCUUAGAAGAUGGCUUGUUGUGCUUAAUGAGAUUAAGAAUUUGUCUGAUGCGGCGCUCGCUGAUGGUAAAGAGAAGACUCUUGAGCAGCAUCUUGCUGUUGAAGAAGCCAAGGAGAACCCGAGGAGACCGUCUUUGGUUCUUUAUUAUGACUCUGAUGUUGGAGGUGAACCAUUGAAUUUUCGUGAUGUUUUUCUUCGAAGUCAGGCAUUGGAGGGUAUAACAUUAUCAAUGGGUUAACUCUUUUCUAUUCCUCAGAUUAUCGAAGCUCCUAAUGAGGAAGAGGUUUCCCUUCUCCUGGAGAUGUUUGGGCUUUGUCUUAGUGGAGGGAAAGAAGUUCAUAAUGCCAUAGUAAGCAGCUUGCAAGAUUUAGCUACAGCCUUUUCAAGCUAUGAAGAUGAAGUAUUGGUGAAGCGAGAGGAAUUGCUUCAGUUUGCACAAGGUGCCAUCACUGGGUUGAAAAUAAAUUCUGAUCUUUCAAGAAUAGAUGCUGAAGCCUCUAGUCUUAAGCAAAAACUCAUAGAGAUAACAAGUUCACAGGAGCCUGUAGACAAAGGUGUUUAUGAUGCUGCAGAGGAAACAAUAGCAUCAUUAGAGGCCUUAAAAGUUGCUCUUUCUCAAAUUAGAAUCUGUUCCAGAUUGGAAGCAUUGCUGCUGAAGAAAAAUAAUUUAAGCUAUGGAGACUCUCCUGAGAUUCAUGCACAAAAGGUACAAUUCUUUCCUCUAUGAGCUUCUUUGUGUAGAUUAGGAGGUAGGAGAACAAGGGGGGCAUUUCUAACUCUUUUCUCUAAAAAACUAAAUAUAGAGGAAUUAAAAUAAGAAUGGUUUAUCUUGAUUCGACUAAAAUAAAAAUGGAAUCUCUCAAAAAAUGGAGAGAAACUGAAAACAAAAUAAAUAAAAAAGCUGUAUCAUUUCUUAUUUUUGCAAUUACCAUUCUUUAGUUGUCUGUAGUAUCAAUAAAAAAAGAUGGUUAUUUUUUAGUUCUAUUAUUUAUUUUCUUCUACUCAUUAACUUAAAUCACUUGACAUCCCAAAAAUGCAAAAAUUAUUGUCCACGUUAUCAUUUUUGUUUUAAUUGUUCCUUAUAUUUUGUUCUCAAAUUGUAUGCAAAUUGCACUGCAAAAUAAUAAAACUACCAACUGUCUUGGUUUUAAAGAGGGAUAGCCAGAUCUGAUAAUCCUAUAUGAGUAUGUAUCAUAGCUUUUGUUAGUAAGAAUGAGAUUGGUAGGGGGCUAUUCUGUUAACUCUUUUGGUAAUAUUGUCAGUCCUAUUUGAAUGAUCUGACUGAAUGUUUAUUGGGUGAUAUAGUUAUAUUAUUUUCCAUUUAUGGCAAUACUAUCAUGCUUUUAAGUAGGUUGAUAAGCUGAAGGUUUUAACGGAAUCUCUUGCCAACUCUGCUGCAAAAGCUGAAAAGCGUAUUGUAGAUAACAGAUUACAAAAAGAGGAAGCAUUAAAAGUUCGUGUGACUAAAAGUGGUGAAGCUAGUGAAAAGGAGAAGGAACUUGCAGCUGAGAUAUCUGAUCUGCAACAGAAAAAAGAAGCUCUCGAGGCUGAACUGAAAAAGGUUAACACUUCUUUGUCUGCUGCUCAAGCACGAUUAUGGAAUGUGAGGGAAGAGAGAGACCAGUUUGAGGAAGCAAACAAUCAAAUAGUUGAACACCUGAAGAUAAAGGAAGAUGAACUUUCGAAAUCAAUUAGCUCAUGCAAGGUAGAAGCAGAUGUUAUCAAAACCUGGAUUAAUUUUCUGGAAGAUACUUGGGUUCUUCAGCGGUCAAAUGCAGAAGUUAGUGAGAAGCAGGUCAAUGAUGAAUUGGAGAGACAUGAAGACUACUUUGUGAACUUGGCCAUUCAACUUCUUACUGCUUACCAGAAAGAUUUAGAGCCUUGUAUUAACCAUAUUGGAACAUUUGUUGUGAACCUCAAGAAUUUAAGCAAGAGGUUAGAGAUGACAUCCAGUGCAGAUACUGAGGAUUCAAAAGUAUUAAGUCCAAGGAGGAAUCUUGAGGAGGAAUAUUUGACCUAUGAAGCCAAGAUCAUUACAACAUUCAGUGUAGUGGAUAACAUGAAACAGCAGUUUUACGCCCAACAGGGGAAGAUCUCCAGGAAUGAUGAAGAGAGAGUUAAAGAGCUGUUUGAUGUUAUUGAAAAGUUACGAACUCAAUUUGAGUCUAUUGAGAGACCAAUUCUUGAAUUAGAGAGCCCAACUGCAAAGGAUGAAACACCACCUUUUGACAAAAGGUCUGAUGGUACUUCUUCACUUUCUGCUGCGGGUCAAGGUACUGAGCUUUCAAAGCCGGAAACAGAUGAACAGCCAAAAUCACCUCCAGUUAAGGCAGACCAAAUAUUGGACCAUGAAGCUGAAUUAGCUAAGCUGGAAUCUGAGUUUGGAAAGGUUAGUCAGGAUUAUUCAGCAGAGGAAAUCGGUGAUUGGGAAUUUGAUGAACUUGAAAGAGAAUUGGCUUCUGGUAAUUAAGCAACAAGUAAUUAUGUCAAUCUUAUUUCUGAGUUAUUAAUGCUUGCCUUUGUAUUUUUAUAAUGAAGCUGCAAGUAUCAUAAAUUUGUAAGCUGUAGGUCGGCUGUUAAUGAAGCUGUAGUUUGGAAAAAAUGCGUUUGACUUUGUAAACAUUACAUAGAUAAUUUCUUGAUUCUUCUGUAAAUUACUGAAUUUGUAACACGCAGACGCAGUCAUCAAAUGAUUUGAAAUUAUCAGUAUGGUUAUAAAAUUUGCACUCGUUGAU